rnacentral:rRNA from 1 species
AACGUAGGUGGCGAGCGUUAUCCGGCUUUACUGGGCGUAAAGCGUGUGCAGGCGGGUGGCCAAGUGGUGUAUGAAAGCUCCAGGCUCAACCUGGAGAGGUUAUGCCAGACUGGUCAGCUAGAGGCAGAGAGAGGGACAUGGAAUUCCGGGUGUAGUGGUGAAAUGCGUAGAGAUCCGGAGGAACUCCAGAGGCGAAGGCGGUGUCCUGGCUCUGACCUGACGCUCAGACACGAAAGCAUGGGGAGCGAACGGG